UACAGAGGUCUCAAGCGUUGUUCGGAUUCAUUGGGCGUAAAGGGUGCGUAGGCGGCGCGGUAAGUCGGGUGUGAAAUCUCGGAGCUUAACUCCGAAACUGCAUUCGAUACUGCCGUGCUUGAGGACUGGAGAGGAGACUGGAAUUUACGGUGUAGCGGUGAAAAUGCGUAGAUAUCGUAAGGAAGACCAGUGGCGAAGGCGGGUCUCUGGACAGUUCCUGA
rnacentral:rRNA from 1 species